rnacentral:rRNA from 1 species
CGAAGGUCCCGAGCGUUAUCCGGAUUUAUUGGGUUUAAAGGGUGCGUAGGCGGACUAUUAAGUCAGUGGUGAAAGCCCCAGGCCUAACCUGGGAACUGCCAUUGAUACUGAUGGUCUUGAGUACAUUUGAGGUGGGCGGAAUGUGUCAUGUAGCGGUGAAAUGCUUAGAUAUGACACAGAACACCGAUUGCGAAGGCAGCUCACUAAACUGUAACUGACGCUGAGGCACGAAAGCGUGGGGAGCAAACAGGAUUAGAUACCCUGGUAGUCCACGCCCUAAACGAUGAUCACUCGAUGUGUGCGAUAUACUGUACGCGUCUGAGCGAAAGCAUUAAGUGAUCCACCUGGGGAUACGACCGCAAGGUUG